GAUGAACGCUGGCGGCGUGCUUAACACAUGCAAGUCGAACGGCAGGGCCCUGCUUUUGUGCGCUGCUGGAGUGGCGAUCGGGUGAGUAACACGUGAGUAACCUGCCCUUGACUUUGGGAUAACUUAAGGAAACUGGGGUUAAUCCCGGAUAGCAGCUCCUGCUGCAUGGUGGGGGUUGGAAAGUUUCGGCGGUUGGGGAUGGACUCGCGGGUAAUCAGCUUGUUGGUGGGGUAGUGGCUUACCAAGGGUUUGGCGGGUAGCGGGCCUGGGGGGGUGUCCGGCCAAAUGGAGACGGGGAACCGGCCCGACCUCCUAGGGAGGCAGCAGUGGGGAAUCUUGGGCAAUGGGCGAAAGCCUGACGGAGCAACACCGCGUGGGUGAAGAAGGUCUUCGGAUCGUAAAACUCUGUUAUUAGGGAAGAACAGCAGUGGGUUAAUCCACGGACGUCUUGACGGUACCUAAACAAUAAGCCCCGGCUAACUACGUG
rnacentral:rRNA from 1 species